rnacentral:rRNA from 1 species
GCCUAGCAGAUACGAAUAAUGAUCGUAAGGGAAGUCGGCAAAUUAGAUCCGUAACUUCGGGAUAAGGAUUGGCUCUGAAGAUUGAGAUAGUCGGGCUUGAUUGGGAAGCAAUAAUAUGGUUUAUGUACUCGUUCUGGGUAAAUUAGAAUGAAAUUUAUAUUUUACUAAAGAUGUAAAUGGAGUUUGUUCCCCGGAUAGUAGUCAACGUCACCAAUUGCGGAACUUUCCUGCUAAUAAUAUAUUAAAAAUAAUUGAUGAAAGUUUUUUAUUUUUAAAGAUUAAUAACGGUUAUCAAUUAACAAUCAAUUCAAAACUGGGACGGGCUUGGGGAAUCCGACUGUCCAAUUAAAACAAAGCACUUGUGAUGGCCCUAACGGGUGUUGACACACAUGUGAUUUGCUGCCCAGUGCUCUGACAUGUCUAAGUGAGAGAAAUUCAAGUAAGCGCGGGUAAACGGCGUGAGUACCUAUGACUCUCUUAAGGUAGCCAAAUGCCUCGUCAUCUAAUUAGUGACGCGCAUGAAUGGGUUAG